CAAUAGCGUAUAUUAAAGUUGUUGCAGUUAACAAGCUCGUAGUUGGAUUUCUGGUGGGAGCGAUCGGUCUGGCGCUUAGCGCGAGUACUUGCAUCGUCUCCGGCCAUCCUUGGGGAGAGUCUGUCUGGCAUUAGGUUGUCGGGCAGAGGAUCCUCAUCGUUUACUGUGAAAAAAUUAGAGUGUUCAAAGCAGGCUUAUGCCGUUGAAUAUAUUAGCAUGGAAUAAUAAGAUAGGACUUUGGUACUAUUUUGUUGGUUUGCGCACCAAAGUAAUGAUUAAUAGGGACAGUUGGGGGUAUUCGUAUUCCGUUGUCAGAGGUGAAAUUCUUGGAUUUACGGAAGACGAACUACUGCGAAAGCAUUUACCAAGGAUGUUUUCAUUAA
rnacentral:rRNA from 1 species